CCUUUGACCCUGGACAUCUGACCCCAGCCAACUGCCACCAAGGCUACUCCAACCUCCAGUGUGCUAGGAUUCUAGAACAAGCCCAGCUCCAACUGUCACUCUGAGUGUGGCCUGGCCUGGCCUCCCUGAGCCUGUUUCCUCGUCUGGAAAGGGACAUGGACCCCAAGGUGCCACCUCUGAUCAACAGGGAAGGGGGUGACAGGACACUUUGCUGCCUCGCUUACAUGAAGCUUCCAACGUCUGCUCAGGAAGCAUCCACUAAGAAUCCUUCAGGUGGCCAGACACUUCUCCUCAGCCAGCUGGGACAUACGUCAUUGCCAGCUGGGCACUCAGCCUGCAAGAAGCUAAGUCUGGCAGGAUGGACCUGCACAGAAGCCAGAGACCUGCUCAUUGUGCCAGCUCGGCAGCCCCUCCUGGACCAGCCCAGCCAGCACCACCACGUCCCGUGACCAGGGCCCCCUGCCCACAGGCUGCAGCCCGUCUGCCCGUGGACCAAAGAGAUCCCUCCUCUUGCUAAUCUGGACAAGACACACUGGGAUUUUUCAGAGAAAGUUUAAGUGAGAAACUAUCAAACCACACCCUGCCCUGUCCCCCUCCCACACACACUCCUCUCUUUCCAGACCUCCCGCCUCCA